rnacentral:rRNA from 1 species
GGAAUGCAUCGAGAUCGAAAGCUCCGGCGCCUAAGGAUGGGUCUGCGGCCUAUCAGGUAGUAGUGGGUGUAGCGUACCUACUAGCCUACGACGGGUACGGGUUGUGAGAGCAAGAGCCCGGAGAUGGAUUCUGAGACACGAAUCCAGGCCCUACGGGGUGCAGCAGGCGCGAAAACUUUACAAUGCUGGAAACAGCGAUAAGGGGACCUCGAGUGCCAGGUUACAAAUCUGGCUGUCGUGAUGCCUAAAAAGCAUUGCAUAGCAAGGGCCGGGCAAGACCGGUGCCAGCCGCCGCGGUAACACCGGCGGCUCGAGUGGUAACCGUUAUUAUUGGGUCUAAAGGGUCUGUAGCCGGCCGGAUAAGUCUCUUGGGAAAUCCAGCAGCUCAACUGUUGGGCUUUCAGGAGAUACUGUCUGGCUCGAGGCCGGGAGAGGUGAGAGGUACUUCAGGGGUAGGGGUGAAAUCUUGUAAUCCUUGAAGGACCACCAGUGGCGAAGGCGUCUCACCAGAACGGACCUGACGGCAAGGGACGAAAGCUAGGGGCACGAACCGGAUUAGAUACCCGGGUAGUCCUAGCCGUAAACGAUACUCGCUAGGUGUCGGCCACGGUGCGACCGUUGUCGGUGCCGUAGGGAAGCCGUGAAGCGAGCCACCUGGGAAGUACGGCCGCAAGGCUGAAACUUAAAGGAAUUGGCGGGGGAGCACCACAACGGGUGGAGCUUGCGGUUUAAUUGGAUUCAACGCCGGA